GACGAACGCUGGCGGCGUGCUUAACACAUGCAAGUCGAACGGAAAGGCCCUGCUUUUGUGGGGUGCUCGAGUGGCGAACGGGUGAGUAACACGUGAGUAACCUGCCCUUGACUUUGGGAUAACUUCAGGAAACUGGGGCUAAUACCGGAUAGGAGCUCCUGCUGCAUGGUGGGGGUUGGAAAGUUUCGGCGGUUGGGGAUGGACUCGCGGCUUAUCAGCUUGUUGGUGGGGUAGUGGCUUACCAAGGCUUUGACGGGUAGCCGGCCUGAGAGGGUGACCGGCCACAUUGGGACUGAGAUACGGCCCAGACUCCUACGGGAGGCAGCAGUGGGGAAUAUUGCACAAUGGGCGGAAGCCUGAUGCAGCAACGCCGCGUGCGGGAUGACGGCCUUCGGGUUGUAAACCGCUUUCGCCUGUGACGAAGCGUGAGUGACGGUAAUGGGUAAAGAAGCACCGGCUAACUACGUGCCAGCAGCCGCGGUGAUACGUAGGGUGCGAGCGUUGUCCGGAUUUAUUGGGCGUAAAGGGCUCGUAGGUGGUUGAUCGCGUCGGAAGUGUAAUCUUGGGGCUUAACCCUGAGCGUGCUUUCGAUACGGGUUGACUUGAGGAAGGUAGGGGAGAAUGGAAUUCCUGGUGGAGCGGUGGAAUGCGCAGAUAUCAGGAGGAACACCAGUGGCGAAGGCGGUUCUCUGGGCCUUUCCUGGCGCUGAGGAGCGAAAGCGUGGGGAGCGAACAGGCUUAGAUACCCUGGUAGUCCACGCUGUAAACGGUGGGUACUAGGUGUGGGGUCCAUUCCACGGGUUCCGUGCCGUAGCUAACGCUUUAAGUACCCCGCCUGGGGAGUACGGCCGCAAGGCUAAAACUCAAAGGAAUUGACGGGGCCCCGCACAAGCGGCGGAGCAUGCGGAUUAAUUCGAUGCAACGCGUAGAACCUUACCUGGGUUUGACAUGGAUCGGGAGUGCUCAGAGAUGGGUGUGCCUCUUUUGGGGUCGGUUCACAGGUGGUGCAUGGCUGUCGUCAGCUCGUGUCGUGAGAUGUUGGGUUAAGUCCCGCAACGAGCGCAACCCUUGUUCACUGUUGCCAGCACGUUAUGGUGGGGACUCAGUGGAGACCGCCGGGGUCAACUCGGAGGAAGGUGGGGAUGACGUCAAGUCAUCAUGCCCCUUAUGUCCAGGGCUUCACGCAUGCUACAAUGGCUGGUACAGAGAGUGGCGAGCCUGUGAGGGUGAGCGAAUCUCGGAAAGCCGGUCUCAGUUCGGAUUGGGGUCUGCAACUCGACCUCAUGAAGUCGGAGUCGCUAGUAAUCGCAGAUCAGCAACGCUGCGGUGAAUGCGUUCCCGGG
rnacentral:rRNA from 1 species